GCAUAUCAAUAAGCGGAGGAAAAGAAAAUAACAAUGAUUCCCCUAGUAACGGCGAGUGAACAGGGAAAAGCUCAAAGUUGGAACCUCCUAGCCUUACGUUACGCGGAUUGUAAACUAAAGCUCUUGAGUAGUUUGGCUGGCUCGGUAAAUAAGUUCUCUGGAAAGGGACGACAAAGAGGGUGAAAUCCCCGUUUUUGGCCGAAGCUUAGUCUUGCGUUUGCUUGGGAGUGAAGAGUCAGGUUGUUUGGUAUUGCAGCCUAAAGUUGGAGGUAAAUCUCUCCUAAAGCUAAAUAUUGACGAAAGACCGAUAGCGAACAAGUACCGUGAGGGAAAGAUGAAAAGCACCUUGAAAAGGGGGUCAAAAAGUACGUGAAAUUGCUGAAAGGGAACCGUAUGAAAUCAGCUUGGCCGUUUGGUAAUCAACCUAGACUUUGGUUUGGGUGCACUUGCCAUAUGGUACAGCCUGCGACAAUUUGAUUUGGGGGAAAAAAUGAGAGAGAAUGUGGCCUUGUCUUCGGGGGAGGUGUUAUAGCUCUUUUAAAAAUACUCUGGAUUGGAUUGAGGAUCGCAGCGAGCCUUUAGGGAUGAACUGUGGGUGCUUGGUGGUUGCUAGGGAGAAAUUUCUAUUUAGGUAGUGUCUUUCUCGUAGCUGUCAACUCGCCUACUUUUUCUUUUUCUCGCUUAGGUCGCAGGCAUAAUGAUUUUAUAUGACCCGUCUUGAAACACGGACCAAGGAGUCCACCAUUAUUGCGAGUCUUUGGGUGUAGAAACCCAUAGGCGGAAGGAAACUGACCAAGAUAUGAAGGCUUACGCCGGCAAUAUCCUCCAGCGAGGACGUUUUAUACUGAAUUGACUGAGAGAAAGCAAUAAUGAUGGGACCCGAAAGAUGGUGAACUAUACUUGAAUAGGGUGAAGCCAGAGGAAACUCUGGUGGAAGCUCGUAGCGAUUCUGACGUGCAAAUCGAUCGUCAAAUUUGAGUAUAGGGGCGAAAGACUAAU
rnacentral:rRNA from 1 species